rnacentral:rRNA from 1 species
UAGGGAAUCUUCGGCAAUGGACGAAAGUCUGACCGAGCAACGCCGCGUGAGUGAAGAAGGUUUUCGGAUCGUAAAACUCUGUUGGUAGAGAAGAACGUUGGUGAGAGUGGAAAGUUCAUCAAGUGACGGUAACUACCCAGAAAGGGACGGCUAACUACGUGCUAG